GUUUUUAAUUAAAAAAGUAUUACUCCAUUUGCGAUUCUCAUCCUCACAUUCUGUGCGCUUUACGCUGUGUCAGGAUGGCGGCAAAAGAAUGGGAGUUAACUUUGACAGAGUGAAGUAUUGGCUUUCAGUUGGUGCACAACCCUCUGAUCCUGUUCAGCGCCUUCUAUUUCGAGCAGGCUUAUUACCCCCACCACCCAUGCUAGCAAUGGGACGGAAAGGAGGUCCACGAGACAUGCGCCCAGUUGAUCCACUGAGUGGGCGUUUUAUGACGGAGGCGAUGCAAGUAAAACAAAAAGUUGACGAUGGUGGGAGUGCGAGAUGUUGACAUGUCAUGCUUAAGAUAUAAGAUGGUGCAUUGUUUACCUUUUUUUGUCAUGUAUGCCUUCCCUGAACAUGGACAAGAGGGAUAUCCAGAGAAAAAUGGUAUUUGUGUCAACCUUUCUUGUGUUUAGUAGACAUGAUCAGCUUUUUCCUAGCUGGUUUGGUGGUUGUGAUUAUCAUGUGUGCUGUUUAUUUAAUUAUUAAGCAGGAUAGAGCAAUCUUUUUCCCUCUGUAGGUGGGUGAGUCAAGUACUAAAGCUCAUUCUUUGUACGAUGGAAUUAAAUAAGGGUGGAAUAGAAUGAGGAUGGAAAUGGAAUGAAGAUGUGUAUGAAUGACAAU